rnacentral:rRNA from 1 species
UACGAAGGGGACUAGCGUUGUUCGGAAUCACUGGGCGUAAAGCGCACGUAGGCGGAUGUGUCAGUCAGGGGUGAAAUCCCGGGGCUCAACCUCGGAACUGCCUUUGAUACAGCACGUCUCGAGUCCGGAAGAGGUGGGUGGAAUUCCUAGUGUAGAGGUGAAAGUUCGUAGAUAUUCGCAAGAACACCAGUGGCGAAGGCGGCUCACUGGCCCGGUACUGACGCUGAGGUGCGAAAGCGUGGGGAGCAAACAGG